rnacentral:rRNA from 1 species
AGAGGGUGCGAGCGUUAAUCGGAAUUACUGGGCGUAAAGCGCGCGUAGGUGGAAAAUUAAGUUGGAUGUGAAAUUCCCGGGCUUAACCUGGGCAGGUCAUCCAAAACUGGUUAUCUAGAGUACAGUAGAGGGAAGUGGAAUUUCCGGUGUAGCGGUGAAAUGCGUAGAUAUCGGAAGGAACACCAGUGGCGAAGGCGGCUUCCUGGACUGAUACUGACACUGAGGCGCGAAAGCGUGGGUAGCAAACAGGAUUAGAUACCCUGGUAGUCCACGCUGUAAACGAUGAGAACUAGCUGUUGGAGUCCCUAGAGGCUUUAGUGGCGCAGCUAACGCGUUAAGUUCUCCGCCUGGGGGAGUACGGCCGCAAGGUUAA